UACGUAGGUGGCAAGCGUUGUCCGGAUUUAUUGGGUUUAAAGGGUGCGUAGGCGGCUUAAUAAGUCAGUGGUGAAAGCCGAUCGCUUAACGAUCGAACUGCCAUUGAUACUGCUAGGCUUGAGUAUAGUUGAGGUAGGCGGAAUUGACAGUGUAGCGGUGAAAUGCAUAGAUAUUGUCAAGAACACCAAUUGCGAAGGCAGCUUACUAAAGUAUAACUGACGCUGAGGCAACGAAAGUGCGGGGGAUCAAACAGG
rnacentral:rRNA from 1 species